rnacentral:rRNA from 1 species
GACGAACGCUGGCGGCGUGCUUAACACAUGCAAGUCGAACGGAAAGGCCCUGCUUUUGUGGGGUGCUCGAGUGGCGCACGGGUGAGUAACACGUGAGUAACCUCCCCUUUACUUUGGGAUAACUCCAGGAAACUGGGACUAAUACCGGAUAGGAGCUCCUGCUGCAUGGUGGGGGUUGGACAGUUUCGGCGGUUGGGGAUGGACUCGCGGCUUAUCAGCUUGUUGGUGGGGUAGUGGCUUACCAGGGCUUUGACGGGUAGCCGGCAUGGGAGGGGGACCGGGCACAAUGGGACUGAGAGAGGGCCCAGAGGGCUACGGGGGGCAGCAGUGGGAAAUAUUGCACAAUGGGCGGAAGCGUGAUGCAGCAACGUCGCGUGCGGGAUGACGGCCUGCGGGGUGUAAACCGCUUUCGCCUGUGACGAAGCGUGAGUGACGGUAAUGGGUAAAGAAGCACCGGCUAACUACGUG